GGACGAACGCUGGCGGCGUGCUUACCCCAUGCAAGUCGAACGGAAAGGCCUUUUCGGAGGUACUCGAGUGGCGAACGGGUGAGUAACACGUGGGUGAUCUGCCCUGCACUCUGGGAUAAGCCUGGGAAACUGGGUCUAAUACCGGAUAGGACCGCACUUUAGUGUGUGUGGUGGAAAGUUUUUUCGGUGUAGGAUGAGCCCGCGGCCUAUCAGCUUGUUGGUGGGGUAAUGGCCUACCAAGGCGGCGACGGGUAGCCGGACUGAGAGGUUGGUCGGCCACAUUGGGACUGAGAUACGGCCCAGACUCCUACGGGAGGCAGCAGUGGGGAAUAUUGCACAAUGGGCGCAAGCCUGAUGCAGCGACGCCGCGUGGGGGAUGACGGCCUUCGGGUUGUAAACUCCUUUCGCCAGGGACGAAGCGUUUUGUGACGGUACCUGGAGAAGAAGCACCGGCUAACUACGUG
rnacentral:rRNA from 1 species